rnacentral:lncRNA from 1 species
ACAACUUCAAUAUAUUAACCCACAAAGUGUUAACUGUGAUCAGCUGAACAGAGUCAGGAGUCAGAACCAGAAGGGGUAUUACAGAAGACACAUAUCUUUUCAACUAAAACAUAUAGGAAAUCUUGAUAUGAAGCACAACAUACAAAGACAGAGAAGCUUGAAACGUGGGGAGCUCAACCAAAGAGGCUGGUCAGACUGGGAAGCUUGAUCUCUCCCUUCUUGGACAGAGGUAUGGUGAAGUUCCCAAUCACAGGAAGGUCAAUGGUGAGACCCAAUAUCAACUCAUAAUCAAUGUCCCAAUCUGCCCCAACAUCCUUACACAAGGUCGCCAACACACUAUGUGGCACCUUCACUGGUACCUCCAGAAUGGUAACAUCGCUUGCCUUAAUCGAUCCAGGGUCCGGAACUGUCCCAGCUACAAUCUCCCUGAAUAAACAACAAUCAUAUCCAAUCAAACCCAAGUUUUCUUCUACAUCAAGCAAUCAAACCCAAUAAGAACAUGAACAAAAUUAGUACCUGCCAACACAUUUGAGGGUGUAGGAGAUCUCGCAGAUGGGGAUGGAAUGAUCAUAAGGGUUCUUGACAUGAACCUUGCCGAGGUACUCCGCAGCAUCGAAGCUCACCUUCCUGAAGUCGACAUCUGUGAGCUCUGCUUCUGGCUUUUCUACGUUGCCCAGUUUCUCAGUCACGAAGUUCUUAGCCUUGUCAAAUAACCCAGCCAUUUCCUGAAGCACUGUAGUAACAAGAGAGAUGGAUGGAAGAAGAAAUAGAUAGAUCUAAGCCGGAAAGAUAGAGUAGUUUGGGGACUUUGAAUUUGUGAUUAGGGAAAUAGGAUCCUUGGGAAUAUAUACACGCAGGUGGUAGGCAUGGUAGUGGAGUGGGGUAUGUGGGUUUCUGACACGUGUCGUGAGGUUGCCGUGGAGACGCGUGACGGUGUGUACGUGUCAGUUGUGUUGCCUCCGUGUUUGGAGAUCUGUAAAUCCGGCCGACCAUAGUUGGAAAGAAAAUGGAGAAGGUGUGUACGGAAGUCAUGGCUAAGAUUUAGAUAUUUUAUUUUGUUCUCGUUACCGUGAACGUUAAAAGAGUCAUGGUCUGGGCAUCAAUGAGAGACACCCCAGCUGGGUCCUUGCUCUUUUGGUAACAUUUUCAUUGUUUGGUUCUUCUCUGACCUAUUUUUUAAGAAAAAUAAACAAGUUUCAUACUUUAGGACUUCUCACUUGCUAAAGUUUCCUACUUUACUUCUUACAACACAAGUAUCAUACUUACGAAUUCUUUCAAAAUCUCACAUUCGCCUCAUUAUCUUGUGCUUCUUGUAAUUGUGUUAGAUAACAAGAAACGGUGCAGAUGCUCAUCACAAGAUUGUCAUGGUUAUAAGCACACAAAUUCGUAAACUAUAUUUAUUUUCAAGAUUUCAUUCUUGCAGUGACGACUUCAAUAUAUUAACCCACAAAGUGUUAACUGUGAUCAGCUGAACAGAGUCAGGAGUCAGAACCAGCAGGGGUAUUACAGAAGCCAAACAUAUCUUUUCAACUAAAACACAUAGGAAAUCUUGAUAUGAAGCACAACAUACAAAGACAGAGAAGCUUGAAACUUGGGGAGCUCAACCAAAGAGGCUGGUGAGACUGGGAAGCUUGAUCUCUCCCUUCUUGGACAGAGGUAUGGUGAAAUUCCCAAUCACAGGAAGGUCAAUGGUGAGACCCAAUAUCAACUCAUAAUCAAUGUCCCAAUCUGCCCCAACAUCCUUACACAAGGUCGCCAACACACUAUGUGGCACCUUCACUGGUACCUCCAGAAUUGUAACAUCGCUUGCCUCAAUCGAUCCCGGGUCCGGAAUUUUCCCAGAUACAAUCUCCCUGAAUAACAAAACAAUCAUAUCCAAUCAAACCCUGGUUUUCUUCUACAUCAAGCAAUCAAAACCAAUAAGAAGAUAAACAAAAUUAGUACCUGCCAACACAUUUGAGGGUGUAGGAGAUCUCGCAGAUGGGGAUGGAGUGAUCAUAAGGGUUCUUGACAUGAACCUUGCCGAG